rnacentral:rRNA from 1 species
UGGGGAAUUUUGGACAAUGGGCGAAAGCCUGAUCCAGCAAUGCCGCGUGUGUGAAGAAGGCCUUCGGGUUGUAAAGCACUUUUGUCCGGAAAGAAAUCCUUGGCUCUAAUACAGUCGGGGGAUGACGGUACCGGAAGAAUAAGCACCGGCUAACUACGUGCCAGCAGCCGCGGUAAUACGUAGGGUGCAAGCGUUAAUCGGAAUUACUGGGCGUAAAGCGUGCGCAGGCGGUUUGCUAAGACCGAUGUGAAAUCCCCGGGCUCAACCUGGGAACUGCAUUGGUGACUGGCAGGCUAGAGUAUGGCAGAGGGGGGUAGAAUUCCACGUGUAGCAGUGAAAUGCGUAGAGAUGUGGAGGAAUACCGAUGGCGAAGGCAGCCCCCUGGGGCCAAUACUGACGCUCAUGCACGAAAGCGUGGGGGAGCAAAACAGGAUUAGAUACCCUGGUAGUCCAGCGCCCUAAACGAUGUCAACUAGUUGUUGGGGAUUCAUUUCCUUAGUAACGUAGCUAACGCGUGAAGUUGACCGCCUGGGGAGUACGGUCGCAAGAUUAAAACUCAAA